AGNCGNGACUUUCUAAGUAAUUACCGUCAAAUAAAGGCCAGUUACUACCUCUAUCUUUCUUCACUACCAACAGAGCUUUACGAGCCGAAACCCUUCUUCACUCACGCGGCGUUGCUCCAUCAGACUUGCGUCCAUUGUGGAAGAUUCCCUACUGCUGCCUCCCGUAGGAGUAGGGGGAAUCUUCCACAAUGGACGCAAGUCUGAUGGAGCAACGCCGCGUGAGUGAAGAAGGGUUUCGGCUCGUAAAGCUCUGUUGGUAGUGAAGAAAGAUAGAGGGAGUAACUGGCCUUUAUUUGACGGUAAUUACUUAGAAAGUCACGGCUAACUACGUGCCAGCAGCCGCGGUAAUACA
rnacentral:rRNA from 1 species